UGAUGGAGAAGGUCUAAACAAUAUAGAGCAAAACGUGUGUAACUUUUAUUGCUUGUUAAUGAUCAUAUAAGGUACUCAAAACAACAUUGAAGAGCAGAAGGAUGAAGACCUGGAGCUACCAUUGUUCGACUUGUCAACAAUAGAGACUGCUACCAAUAAAUUUUCAAUUAAUAAUAAACUUGGAGAAGGUGGUUUUGGAUCUGUGUACGAGGGUACACUACUAGAUGGAAAAGAAAUUGCAGUGAAGUGGCUCUCAAGAAGUUCUGGACAAGGAAUAAAAGAGUUCAAAAAUGAAGUGAUACUGAUUGCAAAACUUCAGCACCGCAGUCUUGUAAAGCUUCUUCACAAGUUUCAUUUGCUCUUACUCUCUUAAUGAUGGGAACUAUUCUUGGACAAGGGGGAAAAUCUUAGUGAUAUUUCACCUUCAACAACAAUGUAUUCUGGAAGGCAGCCUUGUUUUUUGUAAUCCAAGAAUUUACUUUGGUAUGAAAUGUAUUUUGCUUGGAAUGUAAAGAACAUCUUACUAUGAAUGUAAAGUUUUAAUAUUUUCGAUUGA